rnacentral:rRNA from 1 species
UACGUAGGGAGCAAGCGUUGUCCGGAAUCAUUGGGCGUAAAGCGCGCGUAGGUGGCCAUGUAAGUCCGCUGUGAAAGUCGGGGGCUCAACCCUCGAAUGCCGGUGGAUACUGUCGGGCUAGAGUGCGGAAGAGGCGAGUGGAAUUCCUGGUGUAGCGGUGAAAUGCGCAGAUAUCAGGAGGAACACCAAUUGCGAAGGCAGCUCGCUGGGACGUAACUGACGCUGAGACGCGAAAGCGUGGGGAGCAAACAGG